UACGUAGGGUGCAAGCGUUGUCCGGAAUUAUUGGGCGUAAAGAGCUCGUAGGCGGUUUGUCGCGUCUGCUGUGAAAACUCAGGGCUUAACUCUGAGCUUGCAGUGGGUACGGGCAGACUAGAGUGCGGUAGGGGAGACUGGAAUUCCUGGUGUAGCGGUGAAAUGCGUAGAUAUCGAGAGGAACACCAGUGGCGAAGGCGAGUCUCUGGACGACACCUGACACUGAGGACACGAAAGCCAAGGGGAGCAAACAGG
rnacentral:rRNA from 1 species